rnacentral:rRNA from 1 species
GACGUAGGGGGCGAGCGUUGUCCGGAUUUAUUGGGCGUAAAGCGUGCGUAGGCGGCUGCGCAAGUCGGGUGUGAAACCCCGGGGCUCAACCCCGGAACUGCAUCCGAUACUGCGUGGCUAGAGGUAGGUAGGGGAGAUCGGAAUUCCUGGUGUAGCGGUGAAGUGCGCAGAUAUCAGGAGGAACACCGGUGGCGAAGGCGGAUCUCUGGGCCUUACCUGACGCUCAGGCACGAAAGCUAGGGGAGCGAACAGG